rnacentral:rRNA from 1 species
UACGUAGGUGGCGAGCGUUGUCCGGAUUUACUGGGCGUAAAGAGCGCGCAGGCGGUCGUUCAAGUCGCGUGUGAAAGCCCCCGGCUCAACUGGGGAGGGUCACGCGAUACUGAUCGACUCGAAGGCAGGAGAGGGUAGUGGAAUUCCCGGUGUAGUGGUGAAAUGCGUAGAUAUCGGGAGGAACACCAGUGGCGAAGGCAGCUCACUGGGACGAUACUGACGCUGAGACGCGAAAGCGUGGGGAGCAAACAGG